AUUGAACGCUGGCGGCAGGCCUAACACAUGCAAGUCGAACGGUAGCACAGAGAGCUUGCUCUCGGGUGACGAGUGGCGGACGGGUGAGUAAUGUCUGGGAAACUGCCCGAUGGAGGGGGAUAACUACUGGAAACGGUAGCUAAUACCGCAUAAUGUCGCAAGACCAAAGAGGGGGACCUUCGGGCCUCUUGCCAUCGGAUGUGCCCAGAUGGGAUUAGCUAGUUGGUGAGGUAAUGGCUCACCAAGGCGACGAUCCCUAGCUGGUCUGAGAGGAUGACCAGCCACACUGGAACUGAGACACGGUCCAGACUCCUACGGGAGGCAGCAGUGGGGAAUAUUGCACAAUGGGCGCAAGCCUGAUGCAGCCAUGCCGCGUGUAUGAAGAAGGCCUUCGGGUUGUAAAGUACUUUCAGCGGGGAGGAAGGCGAUACGGUUAAUAACCGGAUUGAUUGACGUUACCCGCAGAAGAAGCACCGGCUAACUCCGUG
rnacentral:rRNA from 1 species